AACGAACGCUGGCGGCAUGCCUAACACAUGCAAGUCGAACGAGACCUUCGGGUCUAGUGGCGCACGGGUGCGAAACGCGUGGGAACCUGCCCUUAGGUUCGGAAUAACUCCCCGAAAGGGGUGCUAAUACCGGAUAAUGUCUUCGGACCAAAGAUUUAUCGCCUUUGGAUGGGCCCGCGUUGGAUUAGCUAGUUGGUAGGGUAAAAGCCUACCAAGGCGACGAUCCAUAGCUGGUCUGAGAGGAUGAUCAGCCACACUGGGACUGAGACACGGCCCAGACUCCUACGGGAGGCAGCAGUGGGGAAUAUUGGACAAUGGGCGAAAGCCUGAUCCAGCAAUGCCGCGUGAGUGAUGAAGGCCUUAGGGUUGUAAAGCUCUUUUACCCGGGAUGAUAAUGACAGUACCGUGAGAAUAAGCUCCGGCUAACUCCGUG
rnacentral:rRNA from 1 species